AUUGAACGCUGGCGGCAGGCCUAACACAUGCAAGUCGAACGAGUGGCGGAGGGGUGAGUAAUGUCUGGGAAACUGCGCGAUGGAGGGGGAUAACGACGGGAAAAGGUAGCUAAUACCGCAUACCAUCGGAUGUGCCCAGAUGGGUUUAGCUAGUAGGUGGGGUAACGGCUCACCAAGGCGACGAUCCCUAGCUGGUCUGAGAGGAUGACCAGCCACACUGGAACUGAGACACGGUCCAGACUCCUACGGGAGGCAGCAGUGGGGAAUAUUGCACAAUGGGCGCAAGCCUGAUGCAGCCACGCCGCGUGUAUGAAGAAGGCCUUCGGGUUGUAAAGUACUGUCAGCGGGGAGGCGUUACCCGCAGAAGAAGCACCGGCUAACUCCGUGCCAGCAGCCGCGGUAAUAC
rnacentral:rRNA from 1 species